rnacentral:rRNA from 1 species
AAACGGAGGGUGCAAGCGUUAUUCGGAAUCACUGGGCGUAAAGGACGCGUAGGCGGGUUGGCAAGUCAGAUGUGAAAUCCUACAGCUUAACUGUAGAACUGCAUUUGAAACUGCUAACCUAGAGUAUGGGAGGGGGAGAUGGAAUUAGUGGUGUAGGGGUAAAAUCCGUAGAUAUCACUAGGAAUACCGAAAGCGAAGGAUCUCCUGGAACAUAACUGACGCUAAGGCGUGAAAGCGUGGGGAGCAAACAGGAUUAGAAACCCGAGUAGUCC